GUCUGCACCUCUGAGAGCUGCCCUAAAGCCCGCCCGCGGGGCUCAGGGGUUGAGCGUCGACCUAGGAACCAGGAGAAGUAUAUUUUAUAAAAAGAACCAUUGGACGUCUGUCCCAGAGCCUCUACUCCAAACGCUCUCCUCACACACUCAGGCGUCGAUUCCGAAGGGAGGGGCCGCGCAGACGAGACCCAGGAGGGCGCUCGCUCCCGAGCUGGGGACUCACAUGGACCAGACGUCGAUUUUGGGGCCGUACUUCUUCCUGGCGAGCAGCUCGGGCGCGGCGUAGGCGGGGCUGCCGCACUGCGUGCUGAACGGGUCCGAGUGGCCCAGGAUCCCCGCACAGUUGCUCAGUCCGAAGUCUGCAAAGGGCGGACAGACGGCUAUCGGACGCGGUGGGAAACUCGGGAGGCGGCCCACGGACGAGUCCGUGACGUUACCACACGCGACCACGGAGCCCUCCGGCCGUCCGCGGGGGAGGCUGUGACGGAAGGGAUUUUCCAACCCCGUCUGGGCAGAGCCCGGACACUCCACCAGGUUCCGAAAGUCUCCAGCUCAGGGCGGGGGUGAAGAGCCCGAACCCCACGGGGACCGGCCGGCCCUCCGAGAGAGAAGGGAGACUGCGUUCCCCGGUUCCCGGUGCCGGCGUUCACCGACGAGGGGAGCCAGGCAUGGCUACGCCACGGCAGCACCUCCCAACCAGACACCCCCUCCCGUUACGAAGGCUCGCGGUUAAUCCGAAUAAAAUAACCACAAAG